AGCAUGAUAGUAAAUGAAAAUUAAAAUAUUAUGUAUCUACUCAAAAUAGUUAAUAUCUUCUGAAUCAAAAAAAUAAAAAUCAUUCUACACAAAACAAACAAAGAGCGCCGAAGGAGGAGUAGGGUUUUCCUUCUUCGAUUGUGAGAACAGAGCGACGACGAUGGGACGAACUAAAGCUACUAUACCGGGAAAUUAUGAAGGGUCAUUCUACACACGUCGUAAUACUGGUAAAGUCAAAGAAUGUGGAGGCCAAGCGAGUUACGGACGGACAGUGUUGUGGAAAAUGUUUUAAGCAUUAAAUCUGGAAAAGGCUUGAGCAAUAUUGGUGAAUCUAGCCAUACCUUAACAGAAGUUUGAUCAAAAUAUCGGAAUGAUCCAAUGUUUGCUUCGUUUGUAAGGACAAUAGCUGAAGAAGAGUAUGCUUGCAGAUUAUAUGGCAUGCGCAGGACAUACGCAUAGGAGCAAUAUUGUGCAGCGGGCAAGAUUGAUGGUGGUCCAAAUUAAGUGAGGAGAUUGCAAGAAUAUCAACGACACUAGUGUUUACCUGCUGCGACACAUGGAAAUGUUUAUGGGUGAGACAUUGUCCUCAUGGACCUGUGGACUGGGCAAUAAAUCGAAAAAGCAGUUGAAUCUUCUGAGGGUGAGGUGCGAUGUAGCGCUUCUUGCAUGGAAUAAUAACCGCAUCAAAUGAGCAAUAGAAGAAAAUGCAAAUGUGAAUUUUGACUUGCUGCACAGGGAUGCGGCGGUGAAUGUCGACGCCCAGUUGAUUGGAUAAACUUCAUUAUAUCAUGUUUGAUUUAGGACAUUUGUUAUAGUGCGCGAUAAGACAAUAAUUCUGUGUCGACGCCUUAUGAAUAAUAUUC